UACGUAGGGUGCAAGCGUUAAUCGGAAUUACUGGGCGUAAAGCGUGCGCAGGCGGUCUUGCAAGGCAGAUGUGAAAUCCCCGGGCUCAACCUGGGAACUGCAUUUGUGACUGCAAGGCUGGAGUACGGUAGAGGGGGAUGGAAUUCCGCGUGUAGCAGUGAAAUGCGUAGAUAUGCGGAGGAACACCGAUGGCGAAGGCAAUCCCCUGGACCUGUACUGACGCUCAUGCACGAAAGCGUGGGGAGCAAACAGG
rnacentral:rRNA from 1 species